rnacentral:rRNA from 1 species
GGGCAGCAGCUGCGGUACUCCGGCGGGUGCAAGCGUUAUCCGGAAUCACUGGGUUUAAAGGGUGCGUAGGUGGUUUAGUAAGUCAGAUGUGAAAGCCCGGCGCUCAACGUCGGAAUUGCAUUUGAUACUGCUGAACUUGAAUCAGGUUGAGGUGGGCGGAAUGCGGCAUGUAGCGGUGAAAUGCAUAGAUAUGCCAUAGAACACCAAUUGCGAAGGCAGCUCACUGGCCCUGAAUUGACACUGAGGCACGAAAGCGUGGGGAGCGAACAGGAUUAUAUC